rnacentral:rRNA from 1 species
AUGGCUUGAAUGCGCCCAAUCGCAUGAAAUCUCGGAAGCUAAGUAAUCGUGUCAGUUAGUACUUGGAUGGGAGACCUCCAUGGGUUAGUAGUAC